CCUGGAUCUGGUUUGGCAAAUCAUAUUGGGAGCAUUACCGUUGCCUGUUUAGGUAAAGAUGGUACCGUCGCUGAUAUUAGCGCAGUCAAUGCUGCGACACUCGUGUCUGUGUUUUGCAACGGUCGGAUAAGAAAUGAUGAAACAAUGAUAACAGUUGGACAAGACGAGAAAAGGUGUGAAACAAGUUUCGGCGGUGAAUCUGCUGCAACAGCAAUUGUGUCUGGAAUGAUUGCUCUUCUGCUGGAGGCAAACCCUGGUGUAUCAGCAAGAGACGUGAAGCACAUUCUAAUUGAAUCAAGCAGCCAUCUUGGGAUAGAAGCACCACCUGAAUUUGUGACUAACACAGCUG